UGAUGUGCUGGCACUACAGGAUUGGCUCGGGAAAAGGGUUGUGUUUCGUAAGAGUUAGAAAAAUCAUUCACUUUCGCGAGCAAAUGAAAAAAAAAACACGAGACGCAAUAAGAAAGGGGAUACAAGAGGCGAUAAGAGAGCGUCUUUGUUGAAGGUUGUGAAAUGGAGGAAGAACUGCGAGAUAUGAAGGCACGCAAAGCACACUACGACAUGCUCCAUUUCGUUGCAGAUGCGCAACAAGGGAUUCCCAAAUUGUGCCCCUGUGGAUCAAUCACGAAGGAAUCCGUAGAUGAAGAGGAUACAUAUGACUACCUCCCAGGGAAAAGAUACUUCAUCUGCAAAGACUUCGAGGUUUGAAGUGUUAUGUCUCUUGCUGUUUGAUCAAAUGCUGUUUGAAAUAUAUUUUUUUUGGAUCCAUUGCUGUUUGACAAAGUUUAUUCUUCUUUGGCAGAAUGACGGGAUGCAUUUUAGGCAGCCAUGGGUUAUGGGUGUGCAACAAGAGGUGGAGAGGCUCAAAAUAAGGGUUCACGAGCAUGAGAAGCUUCUCAGAGAAUGCGACGAACUAAAGGCCCAGGUGAGGAUGUUGCUUAGGCGUGUGUCUGACCUUGAGAGAGUCCUCUGAGGUUAGUGUUUAAAGUUACAUGUCUUCUUUAACUCUCUAGUUUAAAAUUAGCAGUUAGAAUUGAAACGGAUAGGACUAUCGGUAACUUUGUAGUUUGAAAACGGAUUUGAUUCCUAUGCUUUGAAAACAUUUACUUUGCAGUUUAUACUUUCCAACUUGGUAGUUAUAAAUGCACACUAAACCACCAUUAAAUUUACCGUAACUGCAUCUUGCAAAGUAAAAUUGC